GCUAGGGAUGAACUAAUGAUUGUCUAUGAAACGAUUAAGAAGUUGUGUAUUGUAUCUCAUGUUGCUAAGUAAUACAUUUUAUACACAUUUAUAUUCCGCUGUGCUAUCUAUUCAAUUGUUUUAGAACCUUAUAUUCGAACAUGACUUAGUAAAUGAAAGACUUAAAAUGAAUCAAACAAGCAAAGAAAUUGAUUAAGUAGCAAACGGGUCCAGUCUUGUCCAGAGGCCGGAUUCAGGUGUUACAGGGAAUUCCGGAAAGAAUUAUCUUUUCUUUUUAACAGCCUGCCCACCCUGGAAACGGCUCAGCUGGAGGUAGGGUCCAGCGGCUGGAAGAGCACCGCACGUCGCGUGGUGUCCGGUGCAUUCCCGGUGGCCCUUGAAAAUCCAGAGGACCGAGUGCCGCUCACGCCCGGUCGUACUCAUUACCGCAUCAGGUCUCCAAGGUGAGCAGCCUCUGGUCGAUGGAACAAUGUAGGCAAGGGAAGUGGGGAAAAAGGAUCCGUAACUUCAUGAAAAGGAUUGGCUCUGAGGGCUGGGCUCGGGGGUCCCAGUUGCGAACCCGUCGACUGUUGGCGGGCUGCUUGAGCUGCUAACGUGGCGAGAGCGGACCGCCUUGUGUCAGCCGGGGGACGGACUGGGAACGGCUCUUUCGGGAUCUUUCCCCGGGCAUCGAACAGCCAACUCAUAACUGGUACGGACAAGGGGAAUCCGACUGUUUAAUUAAAACAAAGCAUUGCGAUGGUCCCUGCGGAUGCUAACGCAAUUUGAUUUAUGCCCAGUGCUCUGAAUGUCAAAGUGAAGAAAUUCAACCAAGCGCGGGUAAACAGCGGGAGUAACUAUGACUCUCUUAAUGUAGCCAAAUGCCUCGUCAUCUAAUUAGUGAUGCACAUGAAUGGAUUAACGAGAUUCCCACUGUCCCUGUCUUCUAUCCAGCGAAACCACAGCCAAGGGAACGGGCUUGGCAGAAUCAGCGGGGAAAGAAGACCCUGUUGAGCUUGACUCUAGUCCGACUUUGUGAAAUGACUUGAGAGGUGUAGAAUAAGUGGGAGCUCCGGCGCAAGUGAAAUACCACUACUUUUAACAUUAUUUUACUUACUCCGUACAUCGGAGGCGGGGUAACAACCCCUUCUUUUAGACCCAAGACUCGCUUCGGCGGGUCAAUCCUGGCGGAGGACAUUGUCAGGUGGGGAGUUUGGCUGGGGCGUCACAUCUGUUAAAAAAUAACACAAGUGUCCUAAGAUGAGCUCAACGAGAACAGAAAUCUCGUGUGGAACAAAAGGGUAAAAGCUCGUUUGAUUCUGAUUUUCAGUACGAAUACGAACCGUGAAAGUGUGGCCUAUCGAUCCUUUAGACCUUCGGAAUUUGAAGCUAGAGGUGUCAGAAGAGCGUUCAUAGUGACGUUGGUUUUUGAUCCUUCCACGUCGGCUCUUCCUAUCAUUGUGAAGCAGAAUUCACCAAGUGUUGGAUUGUUCACCCACCAAUAGGGAACGUGAGCUGGGUUUAGAUUGUCGUGAGAUAGGUUAGUUUUACCCUACUGAUGCCCGCGUCUAAUAGUAAUUCAACCUAGUACGAGAGGAACCGUUGAUUCGCACAAUUGGUCAUCGCGCUUGGUUGAAAAGCCUGUGGCGUGAAGCUACCGUGCGCUGGAUUAUGACUGAACGCCUCUAAGUCAGAAUCUGGGCUAGAAGCGACACAUGCACCUGCCGUCCGAGUGCCAACCCUCAGUAGGAGCUUUGGCUCCCAAAGGCACGUGUCAUUGGCUAAGUCUGUUCGGCGGAAGCGACGUUCGGACCGCCUUGAAUUAUAAUUACCACCGAGCAGC
rnacentral:rRNA from 1 species